CUGCGAAUACCGGAGAAUGUUAUCACGGGAGACACACGGCGGGUGCUAACGUCCGUCGUGAAGAGGGAAACAACCCAGACCGCCAGCUAAGGUCCCAAAGUCAUGGUUAAGUGGGAAACGAUGUGGGAAGGCCCAGACAGCCAGGAUGUUGGCUUAGAAGCAGCCAUCAUUUAAAGAAAGCGUAAUAGCUCACUGGUCGAGUCGGCCUGCGCGGAAGAUGUAACGGGGCUAAACCAUGCACCGAAGCUGCGGCAGCGACACUAUGUGUUGUUGGGUAGGGGAGCGUUCUGUAAGCCUGUGAAGGUGUGCUGUGAGGCAUGCUGGAGGUAUCAGAAGUGCGAAUGCUGACAUAAGUAACGAUAAAGCGGGUGAAAAGCCCGCUCGCCGGAAGACCAAGGGUUCCUGUCCAACGUUAAUCGGGGCAGGGUGAGUCGACCCCUAAGGCGAGGCCGAAAGGCGUAGUCGAUGGGAAACAGGUUAAUAUUCCUGUACUUGGUGUUACUGCGAAGGGGGGACGGAGAAGGCUAUGUUGGCCGGGCGACGGUUGUCCCGGUUUAAGCGUGUAGGCUGGUUUUCCAGGCAAAUCCGGAAAACCAAGGCUGAGGCGUGAUGACGAGGCACUACGGUGCUGAAGCGACAAAUGCCCUGCUUCCAGGAAAAGCCUCUAAGCAUCAGGUAACAUCAAAUCGUACCCCAAACCGACACAGGUGGUCAGGUAGAGAAUACCAAGGCGCUUGAGAGAACUCGGGUGAAGGAACUAGGCAAAAUGGUGCCGUAACUUCGGGAGAAGGCACGCUGAUAUGUAGGUGAAGCGACUUGCUCGUGGAGCUGAAAUCAGUCGAAGAUACCAGCUGGCUGCAACUGUUUAUUAAAAACACAGCACUGUGCAAACACGAAAGUGGACGUAUACGGUGUGACGCCUGCCCGGUGCCGGAAGGUUAAUUGAUGGGGUUAGCGGUAACGCGAAGCUCUUGAUCGAAGCCCCGGUAAACGGCGGCCGUAACUAUAACGGUCCUAAGGUAGCGAAAUUCCUUGUCGGGUAAGUUCCGACCUGCACGAAUGGCGUAAUGAUGGCCAGGCUGUCUCCACCCGAGACUCAGUGAAAUUGAACUCGCUGUGAAGAUGCAGUGUACCCGCGGCAAGACGGAAAGACCCCGUGAACCUUUACUAUAGCUUGACACUGAACAUUGAGCCUUGAUGUGUAGGAUAGGUGGGAGGCUUUGAAGUGUGGACGCCAGUCUGCAUGGAGCCGACCUUGAAAUACCACCCUUUAAUGUUUGAUGUUCUAACGUUGGCCCGUAAUCCGGGUUGCGGACAGUGUCUGGUGGGUAGUUUGACUGGGGCGGUCUCCUCCUAAAGAGUAACGGAGGAGCACGAAGGUUGGCUAAUCCUGGUCGGACAUCAGGAGGUUAGUGCAAUGGCAUAAGCCAGCUUGACUGCGAGCGUGACGGCGCGAGCAGGUGCGAAAGCAGGUCAUAGUGAUCCGGUGGUUCUGAAUGGAAGGGCCAUCGCUCAACGGAUAAAAGGUACUCCGGGGAUAACAGGCUGAUACCGCCCAAGAGUUCAUAUCGACGGCGGUGUUUGGCACCUCGAUGUCGGCUCAUCACAUCCUGGGGCUGAAGUAGGUCCCAAGGGUAUGGCUGUUCGCCAUUUAAAGUGGUACGCGAGCUGGGUUUAGAACGUCGUGAGACAGUUCGGUCCCUAUCUGCCGUGGGCGCUGGAGAACUGAGGGGGGCUGCUCCUAGUACGAGAGGACCGGAGUGGACGCAUCACUGGUGUUCGGGUUGUCAUGCCAAUGGCACUGCCCGGUAGCUAAAUGCGGAAGAGAUAAGUGCUGAAAGCAUCUAAGCACGAAACUUGCCCCGAGAUGAGUUCUCCCUGAGACUUAGAGUCUCCUGAAGGAACGUUGAAGACGACGACGUUGAUAGGCCGGGUGUGUAAGCGCAGCGAUGCGUUGAGCUAACCGGUACUAAUGAACCGUGAGGCUUAACCUUACAACGCCGAAG
rnacentral:rRNA from 1 species